CAGGCCUAACACAUGCAAGUCGAACGGUAGCACAGAGGAGCUUGCUCCUUGGGUGACGAGUGGCGGACGGGUGAGUAAUGUCUGGGAAACUGCCCGAUGGAGGGGGAUAACUACUGGAAACGGUAGCUAAUACCGCAUAACGUCUUCGGACCAAAGUGGGGGACCUUCGAGCCUCACACCAUCGGAUGUGCCCAGAUGGGAUUAGCUAGUAGGUGGGGUAAUGGCUCACCUAGGCGACGAUCCCUAUCUGGUCUGAGAGGAUGACCAGCCACACUGGAACUGAGACACGGUCCAGACUCCUACGGGAGGCAGCAGUGGGGAAUAUUGCACAAUGGGCGCAAGCCUGAUGCAGCCAUGCCGCGUGUAUGAAGAAGGCCUUCGGGUUGUAAAGUACUUUCAG
rnacentral:rRNA from 1 species